CCUACGGGUGGCAGCAGUGGGGAAUAUUGGACAAUGGGCGAAAGCCUGAUCCAGCCAUGCCGCGUGUGUGAAGAAGGCCUUCGGGUUGUAAAGCACUUUCAGUGGGGAAGAAAGCCUUGGGGCUAAUACCCUCGAGGAAGGACAUCACCCACAGAAGAAGCACCGGCUAACUCCGUGCCAGCAGCCGCGGUAAUACGGAGGGUGCGAGCGUUAAUCGGAAUUACUGGGCGUAAAGCGCGCGUAGGCGGUCUGAUAAGCCGGUUGUGAAAGCCCCGGGCUCAACCUGGGAACGGCAUCCGGAACUGUCAGGCUAGAGUGCAGGAGAGGAAGGUAGAAUUCCCGGUGUAGCGGUGAAAUGCGUAGAGAUCGGGAGGAAUUCCAGUGGCGAAGGUGGCCCUCUGGACUGACACUGACGCUGAGGUGCGAAAGCGUGGGUAGCAAACAGGAUUAGAUACCCCUGUAGUC
rnacentral:rRNA from 1 species